UACGGAGGGGGCAAGCGUUAUCCGGAUUUACUGGGUGUAAAGGGAGCGUAGACGGUGAAGCAAGUCUGAAGUGAAAGGCGGGGGCUCAACCCCCGGACUGCUUUGGAAACUGGGAGACUUGAGUGCAGAAGAGGAGAGUGGAACUCCAUGUGUAGCGGUGAAAUGCGUAGAUAUAUGGAAGAACACCAGUGGCGAAAGCGGCUCUCUGGUCUGUAACUGACGCUGAGGUUCGAAAGCGUGGGUAGCAAACAGG
rnacentral:rRNA from 1 species